rnacentral:lncRNA from 1 species
GGGUCCCAAUCUAUCUGGUGAAGGAAAUUCAAGAAUGUUAAGUUGUAAUAAAACAAGUGCCAUGAAAGAGGUAUGAAAAAACAAUCUCUGAACUUAUGGAAAUAGGAAGGAUGUUCAUACUCUUUAUAUAAGACUUGACGGCAUCAGAGAGAGGGAGGCAGCGAUGGACAUGACUUCAAAGGAACAGAAAGCAGUAUCAGAUGAUGCCCAGAAGGGAAAGAGACAUAUCAAAGAAUAUUUGUUCUACAAAAAAAGAAAGAAGAAAAGAAGGAAAGGUGGAGGAUGGCAUUUUGCUGAAUUCCCAAACCAAGAAUCAUAGAGAGGUAAAAAGAUAACUAUGCUAGAAAUCAAGUGAGACAUCCAGUUAAAAGUGUUAUUCUUUGCUGUCUUGUAUUAUCUCUCAAGUAUCUUCUCUAUCUCCAAUGACAUUACCUCAUUUGAGGCUACUAGCUAUCUGAACUGAACUAUUGCAGGACUGUCCUCGUCAGUCUCACUUCCAGUCAUGAAACCUCUACUCCACCUUCUCCCUUCACUACCCACUUACCUUCUACUUUCCAUAUACCAACCUAAGAAAUCUUUCUAAAACUCAAAUGUUAUCAUUUCUCUCUCCUUACACUUAUCAAUCCCCUUUCCCUUCCUCCCACCCAAUACCUUCAGGAUAAAGUCCAAGAUCUUUUCAUGGCACAGAACUACUGGCAAGAUUUGGCUACUGCUUAUCUCUACACUCACCUGUAGCUCUAGUUCAACUGAAUUCUAUGUGAUUCAUAUGCACAUAGUGUAAGUAAUUCCAGUAAUAUGCGAGGUUCUUUCAGGUAUAGGUUUAGUCCUUUCUUUGUCUUUUGUCGGAAAAGCCUUCUCACCUCUGUCUUCUAUCAUCUUUGCAUUUAUCACACUACAUUGACAAUGUCUCCUGCCUGGGUUUUUACCAUAGACUAGAUUUUUCAUAAGAGCAGACACUGAAUCUUCUUCAUCUUUAUAGGUAUAAUGCACAGAUAUUUAAUACUUAUUAAGUUAAUGAAAAAUUUCUCCCUCUCUCUCUCCACCCCCCACAGAUUUUUGCUAUGUCUCAGCAUUUUCAGGAUUUUUAGAAACAACUUGUCUGUCUAUAAUUUGGUAAAUUCAUUAUCCAUUUCACUUAGCUGUUAUAAUUUCUGUCAUUUGAAUUGCUGUCGUUUCUGCUCAUAUUUUCUUAGUAUUCCAUAUUGUCUUUUGGUCAGAAAUAAUUUGUAUAAGUUUUCAUUACUUCAAGGUAUUCAGUAACAGGUGAUACUCUAUUCUCUUUUCUAACAAAAAACUUAUAUUACCAUUUUUCCCUGAGUAUCUUUCUUUUAUCCAUUUUGCUAGCCAUGGACUCUUUCUUCAUUUAUUAGAUGGUCUACUUUCUCUUCUAAUGUAUAUUUAUUUGUUUAUAUCUCAUACUAAUUUACAAAUUUCUCCCUUUUAUUUUGCUUGAAAAGCAACUUAGAUAAAUUCUUCUACUUUCCUGUUUUUAAAAUUUCUACAAACAUUUUUAAAUGAGAAAGAUCAAGGAAUAAUCACGAAUAGUUUCUAUUUAAUAAAGCCAGAUGUGUGGAAGAGGACUUUAAAGGCUCAGAUACUGGCCAGCUAUAUAUUUCUUUUCAUGCAUGAUAUUUACAUGUGUGCAUGAUAAGUUUAAAUCCAUUCUGGUGAAUUUUUUUUGGCAAAUAUGGAAUCAAUUAUGUGAAUCUUAUACAAAACUCAGAAAUACAGCAAAAACUGUUUCAUGUUAUAAUGACUGAAGUCUGGAUAAUAUGUCAUAUCAUAUAAUAUAAUAUAAAGAGCCAUUUAGCUUAACAGAUGCCACGACUGUGGAAUAUUUUCCACAAUAAGUCAAUAAGAUACCAAACCAAAUGCACAAACUCUCUCAUCCACUAUGUAUGGGGGGCGGUUUCAAAAUACACUUGGGAUGCUCUUGAAGAGGCUGUGAAUCAGUACCAUUCCAGCCUAAAUUUUCAAAUGUCUAAGUAAAAAGCACAUCAUAUUUGCAGGCAAUUAUGCACUCUACAGUGGAAAAAAUAAACCUCAAAGAUACAUAAGGUCUUGGCUAUAAUUGCAGCUGAUGAUCACCAUCUCACAACCUUUUUCUCGUGGCUUUUGUUAUAUAGUAUAUUCUUAACUUUUCUAAUUCCUGGUCUUCACUUCUUUCUGCUUUGAUGUAUGACAUGCUUCUCUCCAGCUGAACCUGGAAAUUUGCUAAGGUACUUGCCAUUUUCCCUCCGAUUAUUUUUUAUUCAUAAUUUCCUCAGAAUUAUAAGUAUGCCUGGCUUUAUGGCUUUACAAUCUGACCAUGAAAGGUGUUGUUAUAGCUCCUCUUGGUCAUCUACGUGCUAGUCAGUAUUUCAAUUGCUAAGAGGAUAUAUCGAUAUGGGUCCCACUUUCUUAUUAGGUUAUGUAUAAACUACACAGGACCCUUCACUUCACUAGAGGUUAGGGUCCUACCAACUAUCCUUUCUUUUUCUUAUUAUUUUGGUUAUCCUUAACUUCUAAGUUUAGAGCAAUAGCGGCUGUUCUUGUUUUCCUCUAUUUCACCUGAGACCAUUCUUUAAUAGGUCAGUGUGUUUAUGCCUCUGAAAUGGCCAUCAUUUCCCCCGUCUUAUUUCCUUCGCUGGUCAGGAUCUUAUAAUUGUAGACCUACAUUUUUUUUAACAGUAGCUUCUCAGCUCUAUUUCUCAAAUAUUGUCACUGAAAAUCUAGUCUGGAUGAGUUAGUUUUGUAAGAUGCCACCUGUGUACUAUAACUCUCUUAACAUGACCGUCCACUAUUAGCUGCAUCUAGUUUGCUCCUUUGCUUGACUUUCGUUGUCUUCCACAACAGAUUCACAGGAUGUGGAUGCAUCUCUCUCUCUCAGCCAGAACACGGGCACCCUGCAGCAGCGGGUUUCAUUUGCACAGUAUGGACUGGGAAUCAGGAAAUACGGGAUCUAAAUGUGGUUCAUCUAAAUGAACACAUGCAUGGUGUUCACAGGGAUGUUCAUGUCAGCUCUUUGAAAGUUUAUUUAUCUGUAAAAUGGGCAUAAUGAAAUCUACUUUCCCAGGGUUUUUUGUGAUAGUCAAAUUAAAAUAAACACAUUGAAAAUAUAAAGUGCCACAGAAACAUCAGCUAAUGCAAUGAUGCUAGAACUCCCUAGCUACCCUCAGAAGCUAGCUGCAUCGAUACAGUGCAGCUGCCUCUACUUUUUCACAAAAAGACUACAGAAUAUUACUAACACAGUACUGUGUGAUGAGCAACUCUUUACUCAUAAUGUUUGGAAGAGUUUUUUUCCCCCUAGCUUAACUUUUGUAAGGUAAAAAUAAAGAGGGCAGGAGGAAGGUUUUCUGUAGGAUCACUGUUAUUUCGAAUCUGUCAGAAUAAAUAUUUCUAAAGAAGAAAGGAAAGCUAAACGGGGAGAGAAGAGAUGAAAUAAGAGAAAGGAGUACUUUGAUACAGUAAAGAUAACAUUUUAUAAUCCAACUGCACCCCCGGAUUUUGCCUUUUGAAUGAAUCAGCUGGCUGAGAACUUUUUGAUCCAAAACAGGGAAAGAUGCCAGCUGGCAACUCUAAAGGCUAAAAGCAGAGAUCCUCCAACUUCUAUCAAAAGGUUUUAAUAAGAAACACACAUUUAAUUUAUUACAGAAGAAGCAAGGAAAGAUCUCAUCGUGCAGUCUUGCCAUAUUUGCUAGAAAUUGUAUGUUCGAAGGCCUAGGGCAGGAAUAUUUUGACAUAUAUAAGGAAUUUUUAUUUCAUGCUUUGCUCACUGCACUGCAGAUGUUUUUAUUUAUUUAUCUGUUUGUUUGCUUUUUGCAUCCCAAAUGGUGUGAUGUUAGCCUAUCAGCAGGAUGUGGGAUCAACUCUGGAAAAUGAAACUCUAAUUCAAAACAGUGUUGGCAACAUCUAGAGGCAUUUAUAUUUGGGGAGGUGUGUGUCAUGGCAAGUGAUGAGAAAUUUAAACGUACUGGAGUCCAAUUUGUGGAUGUUGGGGAGUCUUACGCUCAUUAUUAACUAAUUCCAGCCUAUUUACUUAAUCCUCAAAUCAAUUUUAACAGCAUUAGGAUAUUAGAAUAUUGGAUGUCAUAUUAUAGGUUUGGUAAGAAAUAUGCCCAAUGGAGUAAAUCGGGAUAUAGGAGAAUGCUGCACAUUUCAUAAUUUUAUACUAAGCAGUCAAGUUUUCAUUCUGGUAGGUCAUUUGAUUCUCUGCAGGUGGCUAUGCCUGCCUCUGAAGAGAGAGCCCUGAGUCACAUGUUACACAAAUGAAAUGCGAUUAUCUUUGUGGGUAGCAUCGUAUGAUUUGGAACAAGUCUUUAGGUCUAAUAUAAAGAUCCUUCAAAUAAAUCAUCCAGCUAAGCUUCUGUGGCCCCAAACUCCUAAUUUAAAAAUGUUGAUAAAUGAAGUACCUCUUUAGUUAAUAAAUGAAGUAUCUCUUUAGUU